AGAAAGCGGCCCGGGCGGGGCUCUGACCCCCGUUCCCCUCAGGGCGGGGGGGGGGUGGGGGGGUGGGUGUGUGCCUGGCAGAGGGAGCGAUGCGGGAGGGACCCCGCGGGGGUAGCGCGGUUUGCGCACCCCUCUCCACGCAAAGGCAGAGCGGGGUGAUGCGAAAUGCGCGUCUGCAAGAGCGGAGCACAAAAGCCCUCUUUUAAUGACAAGCCAUCACGGAGCAGGCACGCUUAAAAGUAGCUGGAAAACAAUUGUAACAACCCAGAAAAUCCACAGUAGCCCCCCAUGCUGCCGUGCCGCAGCCCUGGGGACACGUGUGGCGAGGGGGCACACGAGGAGGCAGGAGCACGGGGCAGGAGCCUGCCCUUGGGAAGCAGCUGGCAGCGCAGUAGAGAGCAGUGUCGGUCACUCCAUCUGGGCACCAGUUCUACUCGGUGGAGAUCAGCCGGGGUAACUCUUAGAGCUGCAUAGGUGAUUAAGCGGCCGCGUACGGAAGCUUUUGGAGGCCUCGAAGCAUCUCCCAGACCAUGCCCUGCAGCCUUUCGGGUCUGCGGCGGCAGAAACCUCUGUCAUUGCUUUCCACAGUGGCUGAGCAAAGCCAGCCCGUUCCGCCGCCCCGCGCUGCCUCGUGCAGGGGCUGGGCACGAUACUGCCAAAACCCGGCAACCAAAGCCUCCUACAAUUCAAUGAACAUUGGGUACAGAAAUAUUUCUGAAGUGGUUUUUGCCUGUAUUUUACAGCAGGCUGCAAAGCAGUGAAAUGAAUGUCAGAUUUUACCAAGGUCAGCAACAGAAGCAAACGCUUAUUUCAGCAGCAGAAAUAUUUCCAUUAAAUGUGGUCCUGAAGUUCAAAGCCCCCGUGGCAGGAGGCAUCGUGCCGGCUACGUCCUCUCACUCACCAUUCAAGUUACGUGUGCAGUUCUUCACUGAAUUGUAGCCUUCAGGAGAACAACUUAAAUAAAAUAAAUUUUAAAAA